rnacentral:rRNA from 1 species
CCUACGGGUGGCAGCAGUGGGGAAUUUUGGGCAAUGGGCGAAAGCCUGACCCAGCAACGCCGCGUGAAGGACGAAAUCCCUUCGGGAUGUAAACUUCAAAAGUUGGGGAAGAAAUGGUGGAGGCUAAUAUCCUCCGCGGAUGACGGUACCCAACGUAAGCCCCGGCUAACUACGUGCCAGCAGCCGCGGUAAUACGUAGGGGGCAAGCGUUGUUCGGAAUUACUGGGCGUAAAGGGCGCGUAGGCGGCACGGCAAGUCAGGAGUGAAAGCCCUGGGCUCAACCCGGGAACUGCUUUUGAAACUGCCGAGCUAGAGUGCGGAAGGGGCAACUGGAAUUCCCAGUGUAGCGGUGAAAUGCGUAGAUAUUGGGAAGAACACCUGAGGCGAAGGCGGGUUGCUGGGCCGACACUGACGCUGAGGCGCGAAAGCCAGGGGAGCGA